rnacentral:tRNA from 1 species
AUUCUCACUAGCUCAGUGGAGAGCACUUGCCUAGCAUGUGAGAGGUCCUGGGUUUGAUUCCCUGCACAAUA